AGGUUGCAUGCUUUUCUUCUUCUCAG
rnacentral:piRNA from 1 species